GGAAAUAACUUAUGUCGAGUUAUCGAUGCUUGAAACUCCGGAUCACUAUGAUCCUAGGAUGCUGUGCAAGCAGCACAGGAUACAUUUCUUGGCAUCUGAAGGAGAGGAGGAUCAGACACCCCAUCUUGCACUGGCUACUCUAGUCAUGCUGCAAUUUGGAGAAGCAUCUCCACAACCAGCCAGGUUGGCAGCCAUACCUCCUCACUGUUGGGCGUCUCAAUAGCAAGACUGACAACUUCAACUACAUCACCAUGGAUAA